rnacentral:rRNA from 1 species
GAUGAACGCUGGCGGCGUGCUUAACACAUGCAAGUCGAGCGGAAGGGCCCUGCGUUUGUUGUGUUGUUGAUGGGGGCUCGCGGGUGUGACACGUGUGGAUCCCGCCCCUUACUUACGGGUAACAUCACGGGACUGGGGCUCCUAUCGGAGAGGAGAUCCUGCUGCGUGUUGGUCAUUGGAAAAUUACGGUUGUUGUGGCUGGACUCGCGGCUUAUCAGCUUGUUUGGCGAGUAGGUGCUUACCAGGGCUUUGACGGGUAGCCGGCCUGAGAGGGGGGACGGCCUCAUUGGGACUGAGAGACGGACCAGACGGCUACGGGAGGCAGUAGUGGGGAAUAUUGCGCAAUGGCGGCAAGCCUGAUGCAGCAACGCCGCGUGCGGAAUGACGGCCUUCGGGGGGUAAACCGCUUUCGAAGGGGACGAAGACUGAGUGACGGUACUUGGUAAGGAAGCACCGGCUAACUACGUG